rnacentral:rRNA from 1 species
UACGGGGGGAGCAAGCGUUGUUCGGAUUUACUGGGCGUAAAGCGCGCGUAGGCGGAUCGCUAAGUCAGGGGUGAAAUCCCAGGGCUCAACCCUGGAACUGCCUUUGAUACUGACGGUCUGGAGAUCGGGAGAGGUGAGUGGAACUGCGAGUGUAGAGGUGAAAUUCGUAGAUAUUCGCAAGAACACCAGUGGCGAAGGCGGCUCACUGGCCCGGUACUGACGCUGAGGUGCGAAAGCGUGGGAGCAACAGG